CCUACGGGUGGCAGCAGUGAGGAAUAUUGGUCAAUGGCCGGAAGGCUGAACCAGCCAUGGCGCGUGAAGGUCAGUGCCCUAUGGGCGUUAAACUUCUUUUGUGCGGGAGCAAUAAUGGUCACGUGUGGCCAGACGAGAGUACCGUACGAAUAAGCAUCGGCUAACUCCGUGCCAGCAGCCGCGGUAAUACGGGGGAUGCAAGCGUUAUCCGGAUUUAUUGGGUUUAAAGGGUGCGUAGGCUGUGAGGUAAGUCAGCGGUGAAAUGCCCCCGCUCAACGGGGUGAAGUGCCAUUGAUACUGGCUGGCUGGAAUGCGGAUGCCGUGGGAGGAAUGUGUGGUGUAGCGGUGAAAUGCAUAGAUAUCACACAGAACACCGAUUGCGAAGGCAUCUCACGAAUCCGCGAUUGACGCUGAUGCACGAAAGCGUGGGUAUCAAACAGGAUUAGAUACCCUUGUAGUC
rnacentral:rRNA from 1 species